rnacentral:rRNA from 1 species
AUUGAACGCUGGCGGCAUGCUUUACACAUGCAAGUCGAACGGCAGCACGGACUUCGGUCUGGUGGCGAGUGGCGAACGGGUGAGUAAUACAUCGGAACGUACCCAGUAAUGGGGGAUAACUAUCCGAAAGGAUAGCUAAUACCGCAUACGCACUACGGGGGAAAGAGGGGGAUCGCAAGACCUCUUGUUAUUGGAGCGGCCGAUGGCUGAUUAGCUAGUUGGUGAGGUAAAGGCUCACCAAGGCGACGAUCAGUAGCGGGUCUUAGAGGACGAUCCGCCACACUGGAACUGAGACACGGUCCAGACUCCUACGGGAGGCAGCAGUGGGGAAUCUUGGACAAUGGGCGCAAGCCUGAUCCAGCAAUGCCGCGUGCGUGAAGAAGGCCUUCGGGUUGUAAAGCGCUUUUGUCAGGGAGCAAAUCCUUGUGGCUAAUACCCACCGGGGAUGAGAGUACCUGAAGAAUAAGGACCGGCUAACUACGUGCCAGCCGCCGCAGUAAAAC